UAAGUACAAUAAAUAAAUUAAAACAAUAGGCGGUAAUUCCAGCCAUAGUAAAUAAAUUGCAUUUAAGUAAAUAAAGCUUGUGACAAGGGCUUUAAUUCAACACCAUUCACAUAAAUCAAAAACUUAAAGCAUUAAGCGGUAAAACCGACCAUAAUAAAUAAAUUGCUUUAAAGUAAAUAGAACUUGUGAAAGAAUUUUAAACCAACACCAUUCACAUAAAUAAAUACAUAUAUAUUUUCUUCUUUCCUUUCAGAUGGUGCAACACCAUCUAAAAGUCUUUACCCUUUUUUUUUAUUAUUAUUUUUUUUCUUAUUCAUUCACAUGGUGCAACAAUCCAAAAAACCUUUGUUUUUUUUUUCUUGGUUUCCACAUGGUGUCUAACGCACCAUCAUUUUUCCUUUUAUUUUAUUAUUUUGUCUUAUGUUUUUUCAAAAUGUGUUGAUGCAUCAUUCCAUUUCUUUUGCCCCUUUUUCUUUCUGCAAAAACCCACAGACUGUUACUUUUUCCAUAAGAGAGGCUAGAUAAGGAAUACCAUUUCCCAUCCCCGUGUUUUCUUCAAUUUUCCUUGCAUGGUCCGGAGAACAUGGCAUCGCGAAGCAAGAACUUCCAUACAGGAACAUAGAUGACAUCGAGGUUGAUGGAGGUACAAGAGAGGGAGGCCUAUGUGGAGUCAGUCCUGCCAUCACCAUCUCAAAAAACUGAGUAUUCAUAGGAGUUCUCGAGAUACGUCGAAAAUGACGCGAUCUAGGUUUCCAAGUAUGAUGAGAUUCUUCUGGAUCUCUGGAAACCAGUUGUCAGUUACCCGAAAACAAAAGGGGAAAUGCAAGAGGAUAAAGCGGAACGGGUGAUGCUAAAGAGAGACACCACGUUUAAACUAUCUAUCUGAUAAACGUAGGAUUCAUAAUACAAGUAAGUCUUACUUUUAUUAGAAAGAGAGUUUCAGUACGUCAUAUUGUCAAGGGAUGUUACUAAUUCACUUAUGGUGUAACACAUGUAUCUAUUUGUUAAUAGAAGUUGUCAUUUUUUUGUUGAAA